rnacentral:rRNA from 1 species
CAACGCGAAGAACCUUACCAGGUCUUGACAUCCCGAUGCUAUUUCUAGAGAUAGAAAGUUACUUCGGUACAUCGGUGACAGGUGGUGCAUGGUUGUCGUCAGCUCGUGUCGUGAGAUGUUGGGUUAAGUCCCGCAACGAGCGCAACCCCUAUUGUUAGUUGCCAUCAUUCAGUUGGGCACUCUAGCGAGACUGCCGGUAAUAAACCGGAGGAAGGUGGGGAUGACGUCAAAUCAUCAUGCCCCUUAUGACCUGGGCUACACACGUGCUACAAUGGUUGGUACAACGAGUUGCGAGUCGGUGACGGCGAGCUAAUCUCUUAAAGCCAAUCUCAGUUCGGAUUGUAGGCUGCAACUCGCCUACAUGAAGUCGGAAUCGCUAGUAAUCGCGGAUCAGCACGCCGCGGUGAAUACGUUCCCGGGCCUU